GCAGCAGUUAGUUGUGUCCUUAUGCUUACCUUUUUAUAGAGUUUGGACAAACCUUUUUUAUGCGCCAAUGCUAUUCUCCAUUUGAUAGUCAGAAACUAAUCCCUUUCGAGGCGUAGAGAUCACUGAAGUGAACUAACAAAGUAGAUGAGGGCAUUCAUGCAUCAGAAAGGAAAACAGUUUUCCUAUAUUGUGGUGAUGAUUGGCUCCAAUAAUAUUGAAAAAAAGAAACAUACUGAAAUUCUUCAUGCCGUGAAUCUGAUUACAUAUGCCUCAAAGGUUUCUCUCUUCUGGCCCAUUUUGUUUAUUCUUUUUUUUUCAUUUGAUAGAUUUACUAAUUGGCAUGCUGCUUAGUAAAAGAAACUUGUCUUCAAUUCAUCAUAAAACCUAAAUUGGAGAACUUUUAAUAUGAGGAGUUCAUAGUUUUGUUCCCUGUCCAAGUACUGGUCCAGUUGUUAGCUGUAGGAAAAUGACUACCUACCACUGAGGGGUCCUUUAUUCGUAGUUUUCUGUAAAGAUGUGAUGUUACUAAAACAGGUCUUAUGCUGCUUCUAUAUCUAAGAAUUUUUCCUGGAUUUUUGUUGCCUGUUACUUUCAACUUGAUGUUGAUGCCAGAGUACCAUACUUUUUGUAUUUUCCAUUCACAUGGAUGACAAUAUAGAUUGGUAGGGGUCAUUUUGGAGAAUUUGAUUUCAGUCCCAAAAUUGAUUCUGCUAGAAGCUAGAGAGAGUAGUUUCUGGGUUGAACAAGAUCAAUUCUGAGAUUUUACAGCUGAAUUCCACAACAUUACCCCCACAAAAAUCACUUUUUUCACAAAUGUAUCGAAACUUAAAUCACUACACUUUCAAUUCACUUCUACUAUAAUCAAUUUUAUCAAAAUCAAUUUUAUCCAAAAUCAGUUGGGGCAGCGCUGUUCCAAACAUGCACUUGGUCAUUUUUCCUUGAUUUUUGCUGCCUGUUACUGUGCACUUGAUGUUGAUACCAGAGUACCAUUCCUUUUGUAUUUUCCAUUCACAUGCAUGAAUACUCAAUUUUUGUACUUGGUCAUUAAUGUAGGUAGGUGAUGGUUAUAUGGUAAUCUGACCAAAGUGAGGAUUUUGUUCCAUUCCAAUUGCUUACCGAGAAAGAAGCUAUCUCAUUCUCUAGCAGAUCCAUCAUAUAACCAUGAUGACUCCAAACUUGAAGCUGGAAGCUGAAAAUAAUUUAGAAGGAAGAAGCCAAGUAGGUUCCAAUAACAGUGCCACCACUUCUGAUGCUGAUCCAAGUUCUGUUUCCCUUGACUUGACCCUCAACUUCAGUCCCAGUGAUGAAAUUGAAGAGUUGAAAGACACAAAUGACACUAACAGUGAAGUGGGAGCUGAGGAUCAUGCAUCUUCACUACCUUCAAUUCAUAGAAUUUUCUCUUGUAAUUACUGUAGGAGGAAAUUCUUUAGCUCACAGGCAUUAGGUGGCCAUCAAAAUGCUCAUAAAAGGGAGAGGACAAUGGCUAAGCGCGCGAUGCGAAUGGGAAUGUUCACUGAAAGGUAUACAAGCCUAGCAUCUCUGCCACUCCAUGGUUCUAAUUUCCGGUCUCUCGGUAUCGAAGCUCAUUCUGCAAUGCACCAAAGACACAUGGCAUCAUCAUCAUUGAGGGUUCCUGAUAUGAGAGGUGCAGCAAGAUUUGAGAAAGACUACUGUUUCGGGACACCAAUGUUCAUGCAAGAUGGUGAUGUUGGUCUGUUUUGGCCUGGAAGUUUCAGGCAGAUAGAUGCAAGGGCUGGUGUUAAUUUGGGGCAUGAACAUGAACAACAUGCUCAUAAUUCAAGUCCUAGUUUUGUAGAAACUACACCUCCUGCACAGACAUCUACAUCUCCUGAUCUCAAUCUGAGGCUUUAAGAAAAAAAAAAAGUGUCUUGUUCAAUUUAAAUAAUAGAAGGCUUCUUGUGUUAACAACAAGGUAAGGCUGCGUACAAUAGACUAAUUGGUCGUAACCUUCUCCGGACCUGCGCAUAGUGGGAGCUUUGAUGUACCAGGCUUCCCUUUAGUAUUUUUGUAGCAAUGGCACAUCAUGCUCAAACAUUUACAUCUAUCGAUGUCCUCACUCUGAAGUCAUUAGCAUCUUUCAUCUUUGAAUUUUCGUUCUCUUCAGACAUGAAAUGGUUAAUUGGCAGGGCUUGCAUUGUACAGUGAGCUAGGUACGGAGCCUUGGAAGAUUUGGAGGCUAGACUCAGUUAAUGUUGUACCAUUUUUUUAUUGAUAUGAGAAUCAAAUUUCAUUGAUGAGAAAUGUCAGUCAAAGCUACAUCUAAGAUGAAAGGCGCGACAUACCCUAACCAAACUGAACUAGGAAAGAACAACUGAACAAGCUAAAUUUGCAAGGUGAUGAGCAAUACAGUUCCUGUUGUUUAUAAAUGUAAGAAAAGGAAAUAAAGUUCAAAUCUUCAGCCAAAGGGUGACAGUCAUCCAAGAAAGUGGAAUCAGUGAGAAAAAGGAAAGGAAGAGAAGGUACAUUGCAGAAUUAAAAUUCAACAGAGUCCUUGAGAAUGCAAAAGUGAGCCUAUGUUAACCUAGUAGCUCAUCCCCUUUCAUACAUGACAUAAUAUC